GCCAAAUCCCUGUCCUCUCUCGCUCUGUGCGAUUUCGAGAGAGCGAGUCCACCAUGGAAAUGGCUAUUUCCUUCAAUACUUCCUCUUCCUUCUCCACCUCAAACCGUAACUCCAGAACUCUUCUCUCUUCUUCUUCUUCUACUUCUUCUUCUUCUUCUUCUUCUUCUUCUCUUCCACUUUCUAAGCAACUCUCUGGUCUCCGACUAUCUCCAAUUACAUUUUCCGCCGCCAAAACUUCUCUCAAUUUCCGUCGGAGAGACCCUACUCGGCGAGCUCCGAUCAAAUGCUCCGUCACCGAAGCCACAGAAACCGCCGCUGAGAAGAAGAGCCAAUUGAUGAGGAGAAGAGAUAUAAGGAAUAUAGCGAUUGUGGCUCAUGUUGAUCAUGGAAAGACAACUUUAGUCGAUUCUAUGUUGAAGCAAGCCAAGGUGUUCCGUGAUAACCAAUUUGUGCAAGAAAGAAUAAUGGACUCAAAUGAUUUAGAAAGGGAAAGGGGUAUUACUAUUCUAAGCAAAAAUACGUCUAUCACUUAUAAGGAUACAAAAAUUAAUAUAAUUGAUACUCCUGGGCACUCCGACUUUGGAGGCGAAGUGGAACGUAUCCUCAAUAUGGUGGAAGGGGUUCUCCUAGUGGUAGAUUCUGUUGAGGGUCCAAUGCCACAAACAAGAUUUGUUUUGAAGAAAGCUCUAGAAUUUGGCCAUGCUGUUGUUGUCGUCGUCAAUAAGAUUGAUAGACCCUCAGCUCGUCCAGAUUACGUCAUUAAUUCCACCUUUGAACUUUUUAUUGAACUUAAUGCGACAGACGAACAGUGCGAUUUUCAAGCAAUAUAUGCUAGUGGUAUCAAAGGAAAGGCAGGUUUAUCCCCUGAUAAUUUGGCAGAAGAUCUUGGGCCACUUUUUGAGGCAAUAAUCAGAUGCAUACCAGGACCACGUAUUGAAAAAGAUGGUGCCCUUCAAAUGCUUGUUACGAAUAUUGAAUAUGAUGAACACAAAGGACGAAUCGCUAUUGGACGUGUGCAUGCUGGGACUUUGCAGAGAGGCAUGGAUGUGAGAGUAUGCACCUCAGAAGAUUCAUGUAGAUAUGCAAGAGUAAGUGAACUUUUCGUGUAUGAAAAGUUCAGUAGGGCUCCAGCGGAUACUGUGGAAGCUGGUGACAUCUGUGCUGUUUGUGGAAUUGAUGAUAUUCAGAUUGGUGAGACGAUAGCUUGUAAAUCAUCUGGCAAGCCGUUACCUGCUAUUAAGGUGGAAGAGCCAACUGUGAAAAUGGCGUUCUCCAUAAACACUUCUCCAUUUGUUGGUCGUGAGGGAAAGUAUGUUACCAGUAGGAACUUACGAGAUCGGCUUUACCGUGAGCUCGAGCGUAAUUUGGCUAUGAAAGUUGAAGAUGGUGAAACUGCAGAUACAUUCAUUGUUAGUGGGCGUGGUACCUUACACAUUACCAUACUGAUAGAAAACAUGCGAAGGGAAGGUUAUGAAUUCAUGGUGGGACCUCCCAAAGUCAUAAACAAAAAAGUGAAUGACCAGUUGCUGGAACCAUUUGAGAUUGCCACAGUGGAGGUGCCAGAAGAACACAUGGGAUCAGUGGUAGAGCUUCUUGGCAAAAGACGAGGUCAAAUGUUUGAUAUGCAAGGAGUUGGGUCGGAAGGCACCACCCUGCUUAAAUACAAGAUUCCAACCCGUGGUCUUCUCGGUCUUCGGAAUGCAAUACUAACAGCUUCUCGAGGGACUGCAAUUCUCAAUACGAUAUUUGAUAGCUACGGGCCCUGGGCUGGUGAUAUCAGUACCCGGGAUCAGGGCUCACUGGUUGCUUUCGAAGAUGGAACAAGCACAUCUUAUGCUCUUUCCAGUUCACAAGAGAGAGGGCAGAUGUUUAUUGGUCCCGGAGUGGAUGUUUAUAAAGGUCAGAUUGUUGGAAUCCAUCAACGGCCUGGGGACUUGGCACUUAACGUCUGCAAGAAAAAGGCCGCAACAAAUAUACGUUCAAACAAAGAACAAACAGUCAUUCUUGAUACACCAUUGGACUAUAGUCUGGACGACUGCAUUGAGUACAUCCAAGAAGAUGAACUUGUAGAAGUGACACCCUUGAGCAUUCGCAUGUGCAAAAACCCUAAGAUGGCAAAGAAAUCAAGGUAGACGAAUAUAUAGACAAUAUCGAUGUCAACUUUUCGCAACGAUCGCUCGGGAACUUAAUAGCUUCCUCAUUGAAUCCACAUACUUAUAGCAGAUAGAUUCAAAACUCUGCGUAGCUGUUCCCUUUUAUGCAUCGAAAUUCUAGAGCAUUAAAAGGGUAAGUAGGAUUUUGCAAUCUUGGUGAUAUACAAAGGGCAGCCAUCAAAAUUGUACUAGUACAAAAUUAUUCAUUGUUUAUAAGACCAAAAUGCCAUAUAUUUCCUACUGGCAACAAGUCAAAUGAGAAGGCUGGUGGACUUGAGCUUGCAAAUGCAAAAUUAGGGGAGCACAAGUCCUGUCUGCAGGCGUGCUAUGUAGACCAACUAGUGGGGCCCACCAUCAAACCAAGAUUGGUUCUCAUCGAAAAGGUUCCUUUGAGUUUUUAGAACAAGUCGUGGAUGAAUCUUUCCAACUACAACUAAUUUUGGAAGACUUUUUAUUAUUAUUAUUAUUUU